rnacentral:rRNA from 1 species
GUGGGGAAUCUUGCGCAAUUGGCGAAAGCCUGACGCAGCCAUGCCGCGUGAAUGAUGAAGGUCUUAGGAUUGUAAAAUUCUUUCACCGGGGACGAUAAUGACGGUACCCGGAGAAGAAGCUCCGGCUAACUUCGUGCCAGCAGCCGCGGUAAUACGAAGGGGGCUAGCGUUGCUCGGAAUUACUGGGCGUAAAGGGCGCGUAGGCGGACAGCUUAGUCAGAGGUGAAAGCCCAGGGCUCAACCUUGGAAUUGCCUUUGAUACUGGCUGUCUUGAGUUUGGGAGAGGUGAGUGGAACUCCGAGUGUAGAGGUGAAAUUCGUAGAUAUUCGGAAGAACACCAGUGGCGAAGGCGACUCACUGGCCCAAUACUGACGCUGAGGCGCGAAAGCGUGGGGAGCAAACAGGAUUAGAUACCCGAGUAGUCC